GCCGGGGCGUCCCCCGCGGGAGCCCGCAGCCACCCGGGACGCGCAUCCAGACGUGGCGCUUCGGACCGGGCACGCUGCGCCCGGGGGCUCGGCGGACCCCGCGUAGCCGCCGCUUCGGAGCUUGUGCGGCGCGGGCUGGCCAGCGGGGCGGCCAGGGCCCGGCCCGCCUCCCCAGCGCCCGCCCGGCUUCUCCCCCUGGCGGUGGGAGCCUCGGCGGCCGCUGGCGACACUAGGCGCACUGAAGCCCGAGCCGAGCCGAGCCCGAGCCGCCGCCGCCGCCGCCGCUGCUGCGCACCGCUCCCGGGCUCCCUCCCAGCGCGCCGGCCGGGGUGUGGGGGGCGGCGGGCCGGAGGGGCGAGGGCGGGCCAGGGGGCGCACACGGGGGUUGGCGCGGAAGACAGGACCCUCAGCCUCGAGGGAGCCCCUAGGUGACCAGGCAAAAUGGCAGUUCCUUCCAGCUGGUCCUCAGAUGGGCACAUCUAUUAGCCUCUGCUCUUGUAAGAAGUUAGCUGCAGAACCCACAUGUGAAUCCUUGUAGGACUCUGGAGAAGAUCAAAUGGGAGCUUAGAUGUGGAAGCUCUUUGGAAACCAAGAAACACUCUGAAAAUGAAAAGGAUACCAACUUCAUCUCUCUUUAAGAAUACAAUAUUAGUUUAAAAGAUUGUUCAACUUAAAGCAAUCUUGUAGAGAUUGUCACCCAUGAUUGAUGCUGGCAUAAGAAUGUUUAUCACAGCAUGGCAUAUAUUGGAAGUUUAGUAAAUGAAGAUACAUCCAAUCUGACAUUCUAUUCACAACCACAAAGAGAUAAUGUAGAAACAUAUUUAGUAAUGUGAGAAAAUACUAAAUAUUAAGUGAAAAAGGUGGAAGAGUAAACUGUUCCUGUUUCUCCAUCUUGACAGGAAGCAGAAGUUCUCCUUAGCUGAUUUUUCUUCUUGCCUUAUACUGGGUUCUUUAACACCAGAACAAAAAUAAAUAAAUAAAAGAAUCUUCCAGAAAUUCAUGAAGAGACUUCAGGUCAGGAAAGCCUGAACUUUCUCAUCCAACACCCGUUCAAGUCGGAGGAUGCUGAUUAAUUCAUGAUGGAAAGGUAUCAAUUUCACAGCCCAGACCUCUACAUUCUUGAAAUGCUCUUCUCAUGGGAGACAUUAAAUAAGCUUUGAAUUAACUAAAAAUAUCCAACCCGAGCAGGAUAAAACUGAUCAUCCUGAGGAUAUUGCCCUUGGAGUUAAUUUUUUGAGAGAAAUAAAACAAUAAACAUCAUAAGACACAAACCCCAAGCAACUGAUCUCACUGUUAAAAUCCAACCUGAGAACAAUGGAAUGGGAAGCUGCAUAAAACACCAGUGAGCUCUAUCCCAACAGCAGAUUGCGCUCUCUAGAAGAAAAUUCUGAGAAAAAAAUUCAUAUGCAAGAAAUUUACUGGGGAGUGCUCUCAGACUCUGAACUGUGAAGAAAAAGGAUUGGACAGGGCUAGUAGAAGUCUAUAUGUUGUGGUGGAAAACAACCUCAGCCCUAUAGUCCAACAUUUGCCUAUCAAAACUUGUCCUAUGAUUUACAAAACUAGAACCUCACUGCAUGUACCUCUGGAGUCCUGAGCCACAAAGUAAGAAACUCAGCUACCCUGAUGUUGCCAUGUUAAAGAGACUAUCUGGAAAAGCCACAAAAAGAUAGAGAAAGAUGCUAAAGGGGCCUCUGCUGUUCUGGCCCCCACCUAAUUGAGCCAUCAGACAGCAUGAACCAUCAGAUAUAUGAAUGAACAAGGCUUCAGGUGAUUCCAGUCCCACCUACAAUCUGAUUCAGCCAUAUAGAGACU
rnacentral:lncRNA from 1 species